UACAUUGACAAUAUUAAGUAAUAAAAUAUUUCUCAGUUGUCUAUAGGAGCAGCAUAUAGUUGUCACAAGCCUAAAGCGCCCUCUCGCGGCUGUAGACAAUG